AACCCAUGAUAAGGACAUUUCUUAAGCAAGGACCAGAAACGUUCCCAAGCUUCAUAGAAUGCUUCAUCUUGACCUUGUCUGAAAGUGGAGAUAUCAAAUUUUGCACU